CCUUUCAAGGAGUUUCAGAAUACAGAAUGAGUCUAUGAGUAGAUAAGUACAGACCAACCAACCUUAAUAAACUCCAUUAUCAUCAGGAGCAAGCUGCCAGCUUGAAAAGACUGGUCCAGUCUGAUGAUUUCCCUCAUUUGCUGAUUUAUGGCCCGUCGGGUGCAGGAAAGAAAACAAGAAUGGUUUGUAUACUUCGUGAGUUGUACGGGGCCGGAGUGGAGAAACUACGUAUUGAGCACAUGGAGUUUAUAGUAAUUGAUUAAUAAUGGGGCGGGGUUGUUAUAAUUACACACCAGCUGUUAUUAAAAUUUUGAUUCUGUGUACUAUUGAAUACUA